GACGAACGCUGGCGGCGCGCCUAACACAUGCAAGUCGAACGAGAGAGAAGGAGCUUGCUUCUUCGAUCGAGUGGCGAACGGGUGAGUAACGCGUGAGGAACCUGCCUCAAAGAGGGGGACAACAGUUGGAAGCGACUGCUAAUACCGCAUAAGCCCACGGGUCGGCAUCGAUCUGAGGGAAAAGGAGCAAUCCGCUUUGAGAUGGCCUCGCGUCCGAUUAGCUAGUUGGUGAGGUAAUGGCCCACCAAGGCGACGAUCGGUAGCCGGACUGAGAGGUUGAACGGCCACAUUGGGACUGAGACACGGCCCAGACUCCUACGGGAGGCAGCAGUGGGGAAUAUUGCACAAUGGGGGAAACCCUGAUGCAGCGACGCCGCGUGGAGGAAGAAGGUCUUCGGAUUGUAAACUCCUG
rnacentral:rRNA from 1 species